AGCAGCCACGGUAAUUCCAGCUCCAAUAGCGUAUAUUAAAGUUGCUGCAGUUAAAAAGCUCGUAGUUGAAUUUCGAGACCAUCAUGUCGGUCGUGCCUCGGUACGUACUGGUAUUGUUGGUUUCUCCCUUCUGACGAACCAUGAUGUCAUUUAUUUGGUGUUGUGGGAAAUCAGGACUGUUACUUUGAAAAAAUUAGAGUGUUUAAAGCAGGCUUACGCUUGAAUACAUUAGCAUGGAAUAAUGAAAUAGGACGUUUGAUUCUAUUUUGUUGGUUCUAUUUUGUUGGUUUCUAGGAUUGACAUAAUGAUUAAUAGGGAUAGUUGGGGGCAUUAGUAUUCAAUUGUCAGAGGUGAAAUUCUUGGAUUUAUUGAAGACUAACUACUGCGAAAGCAUUUGCCAAGGAUGUUUUCGUUAAUCAAGAACGAAGGUUAGGAGAUCGAAGACGAUCAGAUAUCGUCGUAGUCUUAACCAUAAACUAUGCCGACUAGGGAUUGGAUGAUGUUAAUUUUUUAAUGACUCAUUCGGUGCCUUAUG
rnacentral:rRNA from 1 species